rnacentral:lncRNA from 1 species
CCGAAAUAAAAAUACUGAAAUAACCUACACUAGUCCUAAACCAUUCUUUACCCGAUGUCCUGGGCCUUGAUCACGAAUAUCCUUAGCAUAUAAAAUUCUUCGGGGCAUUCCCCGGUAAGUAAAUACAAAUUACCUCGGGGCAUUCCUCGGUUAAAUAAAUACACUUUCCAAAUGCGAUAAACAAGACAUUCAACAAAUAUUCCAAUCAUUCCAACACUACACCAAUCCUAAACUUGCCUACCCGAACCUAGGAUUGCCUACCCACCUGACUUACCAUGAUACUAUCACGAAAUUGAUAACUAGACGUGAAAGUAACAAUAACGACGAAUCAAAUCAAAAUUAAUCCUAACUCACUUUAACAAUUUUUAACUCGCGCCCCGAAUUCCCUUUAAACCCAUGAUUAGUGCAUGCUUCGAUUUUCCAAUCACAUCUCAUAAUCCGAAACCAACAUCAAACACAACACAAACAACGAAGAUUUUCCACACCCACAACAUCAAUAAAGUAAAGAUCAGUAGAAGAAAUAGACCUUAAUGAAACUGAUCCUUGUCGAUAAUAAAGAAAUCCGAAGACCAAAAUACUCGAACGGAGAACCUCAAUCACGAAUCUUCCCGAAUCCAAACUCGGCAUGGAAAAUUGGAACAAGAAAUAAUAAUGCUCGAAGUAAGAUUAGCUCGGAAUUGCGUAAACAGACAGAAACAACUCAGAAUCUGAACGUCGACUAACCGGAUUUCGAACCAACAACGAAGAUAAGCCCGAACCUAUUUCGCACCUCCUAGCUACUGCUUCGACCGAUUUCCGGCUGACUUCGCCGGAUUCGAACCAACAACGACGAUAAGACAAGACGAAGCCCCCAACCCGAACGUCGACUAACCGGAUUUUGAACCAACAACGAAGAUAAGCCCGAACCUAUUUCGCACCUCCUAGCUACUGUUUCGACCGAUUUCCGGCUGACUUCGCCAGAUUCGAACCAACAACGACGACAAGACAAGACGAAGCCCCCAACCCGAACGUCGACUAAUCGGGUUUUCCCGGAACUGACUCAAUGGGGUCGAGUUUGGUUGAAAACAGAUGCGAAAUGUGAAAAACGGGUUCACAGAUCCUAGCUGGUGGAGCCGAUUCCAGUGGAAUUCGCCGAUAAAGAGAGAGGGGGUUCGGCCCUUUUCUUUGUAUGCUGAGGCCCGUUUCUUUUUUUGUUACUGUUAAUGCCCAAAAAAAAAAAAAAC